rnacentral:snRNA from 1 species
AAUUAACAAACAAAAACAUUC